GUAGGUGGCAAGCGUUGUCCGGAAUUAUUGGGCGUAAAGCGCGCGCAGGCGGUUCUUUAAGUCUGUUGUGAAAGCCCACGGCUCAACCGUGGAGGGUCAUUGGAAACUGGAGAACUUGAGUACAGAAGAGGAAAGCGGAAUUCCACGUGUAGCGGUGAAAUGCGUAGAGAUGUGGAGGAACACCAGUGGCGAAGGCGGCUUUCUGGUCUGUAACUGACGCUGAGGCGCGAAAGCGUGGGGAGCAAACAGGGAUUAGAUACCCUGGUAGUCCACGCCGUAAACGAUGAGUGCUAAGUGUUAGGGGGUUUCCGCCCCCUUAGUGCUGCAGCUAACGCAUUAAGCACUCCGCCUGGGGAGUACGGCCGCAAGGCUG
rnacentral:rRNA from 1 species